CUAAUGGAGUUUAUCAAGUAGCUUUUCAGAUCCUACGCAGAGGUGAACAGAUAGCUCUUCUGUGUGCCUGCAUAAGAAAAUCCCUUUCUGCAAACGGGAUGUCAGGAACAGGAGGCAGCAAAGCAGCCACACAGUGCAGGAUGCACUUCUUGGCAAUUUCCAAGGUGCUGUGAGUGGAAUAUGCCAAGAAUCUUGUUUCUAAACAUCCACUAAAUGUCCUCUGCCUCUGUAAAAGUCUCUGAGGCCCCUUAUCCUGAGAGCUAGAAAACUUUUUUGUACACAGAAAUAUAUAAAAACUAUCUGUGUGCAAACUUGGGCCUUUUGAUUGAUCCGAGAAAG
rnacentral:lncRNA from 1 species